CUUUUGUUCUGUUUUGUUUAAUAAGCAUGUAUGGAUCUUGCUAAAACACGGUGCUACCCCCAUCCAAGAACAAUGCGGCACACAUCAUUUCCUGAAAUAAUAGAGUUGGAAGGCCAUUAUCUACUCACAAAACAGGCUGAAACAACAGUUCCUGAUAUUCUUCUCAAAUACUUUAACUUCCCAAGGAAUCCGGAAAAAAUAAUUCCAUGAGCUGGUGUUGUGAAUGAAGGUAUGACAUUUCAGUUUCCUUCACUGGAAUCUAGUGACCAGCAGUAAUGAAUUACUACCCCCUUGGCGUUACUAAGAGGGACUCUGGCCGGCUUGUAAUGAAUCCCUCCACCAGGGGUAGACAGAAGACAUAAACUACCAGUCUCAUUUCGCCCGGCUUCAGGUCUUACAGGGUUACCGCUCAUGUUUAUCCACGUGACUCAAGAAACACGGCACCCUUCCAUGUAGCUCUGUCUUCUGUUUAAAGAUGAACAGUAGAAUGGAUCCAACGGACUUCGAUUUGGAGUUCCACUUAACAAGACGCACUGCAGAAUGACUCCAUUCUGUCCCUCUCGUGUGAUCAGCUCCAGGGUAAACCAUUAAGUGUCCAAUCAUGGGAAUAAGAGGACCCUCUUGUUAAAUGGGAUUUCUCUCAUAUUAUGGAAUCCGGAAGGAGGCAGACAGAGUGUUUGUUAAAUGUGCAGGAUGAAAGCGUAUCCUUAUUCCCGGGCUUUGCUUUGAUGGGCCUUUUCCAUCAACCCUCGGCUGGACGAGCUGGGGACAACAGAGUUAGUGACCCCCGACCCAUCUGGUAGCUGGACACAGGGGACAGCCUCUUACAUAUCCCAGAUCUGCUUCAAACAGUGGGUCAUCCAAACAUCCAAAGCCAGGAGAAAAUGUGUCUCCAUCAUUAUCGUGUGACUUAAUUACACACUAGAAAGUUCUAACCGAACCUUAAAAAAAGAAGCCCUCUUGUUACAUAUAAUUAGAAUUCCUUUUUGUGCUAUCCAGACCCAUUGGCACUGGCAACCUUCUCAGGAGACCCAUCGCGUUUACUUUCUGUGGCGAUGGAAAUGCGCUGUAUCUCUUCUGCCCAGUGGGGUGGCCGUUAGCUACAUCGGACUCUUGAGCACUUACGAUGUGGCCAGUGGGACCGAGGCACUGAAUGUUGAGUGCGAUUCGACUUGAAUUAACUUAUGAACAAUAACGCGCCAUCUGGAAUUAGCGCUCCUUCCGUCCCCAUCUCAUUUUGACAUUAGCGUCCCAGCAGGUGACAUCGCCAUUGCCUUCCUUCCCGGGCAGUGCGUUGGCUCCCUUUUGUCAUUAGGUUUUAAAAGCGACACUCAGGUGUCACUUGGCUGUUUUCACACAGUUUUAGUAAAAGCGACACAGUCUCACCACUGUGGAAAGGCUGGGGGCUGCCCUUACGCCUAACCCCUGAAUGGCGAUCUCAGGCCACAACCUCAGCGAGGCCUCUUUUUUCUAAAUGGAGCAACUGGGAGUGAAAAAUCUAGGAAUCUCAUGUUUGCAUAACUGAGAGCCACAUGGGGUACUAGGAAAUUCCAUCAGUAAGCCAAGUAACUUCUUAGCAACAGGGCCCGUGUCCUUUAUCUGUUUCCUUAGUUCCUAGCAUAAAUUUUAAUGUUUCUCAAAUGAGUGAAAUAAUAUGUGGAAUAAACUGAUGUGGCUCAGAAACGAUGCCGGUGACAGAGCACUGAAGACGGUGUCUUUAUUAGCAGACGGGUUGCCAUUUCCUCCGCGACGCUUGUUUAUGAACGCGCUGACUCACCUCGAGGCCAGCGCCCGGCUUCCCUGCCCGAGAGAUGGGCUUGCACAUCUGCCAAGGGGACUCGGGGCGAGAGAUAACGGGCGGCGACAACAAGUCUUCCUCAGUCUGCCGGCCAAAAGCACUUUUGGCACUGGGUGUGUUUGGGGGGGGGGGGGAGGAGUGUGCUGAGAAUAACUUAUCGUCAGUGCCCCGAAAGCUCUGAAGUUCUGGAAGCCCGGAGUGGUUGUUUGCCAGACAGAGAUAAUGGACAGGAUGCGACUGAGAGCCAGAGGCCCCGGGGAAGUCAGGCUACACCUGGCAGCCGCUGGAAAGGAAAAGGGGAUGAAGCAGCCGGUGAGCACAUGGUUUCCUGGUUGCCCAGUCCUUGCUGUCAACACGAGCCAACGGUCUCAAGUUAGCCCAAAGGACUGACUUCUUAUCACUGAGCUGGGUUAAAAACAAAAACAAAAACAAAACAAACUGUAAUGCGUUGUGUUGCAAAGAGGAAUUUCCAGAGAUGUGAUUUAAAAAAAAAUAAAUUAAUGCAAGCAACUCA